CGUUAUAUAAUUGUAGGUGGUUUUGCACACUUGUGUGCAUUGUUCUAUGUCUCUACAUGGGGUAAAAGCAAAGAACAAUCCAGGUACCAAGGUGGAGUAUUCCCUCAAAUGGUUGUUUUCACGUUCUCCUUCAGGUGGCCCCGCAACUGGGAGUCGGCUUGCAGUUUCCUCCCAGUUUCCAUGGUGCCUGUGUUUGAUCUGCGUAUUUAUUGCUUCCCAACUGAAUGUUAGAUCACGCGGUGCAGAACCCGUCUGUUCUUCAGGGUGCUCGCCUCACGUCUGUGUUCACUAGACUUGUGUGAUGGACAGGAAGCACAGGACCGCCUUCYGAGUCUGAUUCCUUAACCUGCUGUUCUCAAGUUCCAUCCAUUUUCCUGCAAAUGACAUGAUUCCAUUUUCUUUAUGGCUCAAUAAAAGUCCACUGUGUAUACCCCAUGGCUUCUCUACCCACCCAUCCCUAGGUGGAUACCAGGCUGGUCCAUAGUCUGAAAGCCUUAAGGUUUCUAAUGUUUGUAAAAAUGAGGCUGAACAUGCUUAUAUCUUCAUUCUUAUAAAAGAUAAUUACUAUCAACUCAAUGAAGGGAGCUCCCACUGUUUACUAACAACCUUGGCCAGUCUGGAAACAGUGCUGAAGACGUAUUUUGCAGCAUAAAUAUAAAUGAAUUCAUGACGGUAGUCUCAUUCACUGCGGCCUGUAUCCUUCAUUCUGCGGUGGUUUCUAUUUUACUUCCUUCUGUCUUGAUACAGCACAUAAAGCUUACACUUGCUUUAUUAGGAUUAUUUUAUAUCUUUUACUAGCUUAGCACCACACGAAAUUAAUAAGACUUUUUAAAGUUACUAUUAUGAAUGAAUAAGGACGAAUUUGGUAAAAUUGUCACAAUGAGUUUACUAAAAUUUACUAAACUUGAAUGCAGAGGUAAAUUCACAGAGUUACAAAGUGAUCUGGCCAUUUAUGGUUUUAAUACUUUAAUAUAUCCUUUCAGUCCAUGGAAAAUGAUGGCACUUGUUAGUACAAACUCAUUCCUGCUUCUCAGAAGUUCUUCCUACAUCACACAGUGGGGACCCUGACUCACGUGGUGCACUGUGUGGCUACUUGUCACGAGGCAGGUGAUGUGAAUUCAGUUGAGACCAGUCUUCAGGUUUUCAAUCUCCAUCUUUUCCGGCCCAUGUCUGAAGCCCAAGCCUCUCCCCUGGUGGUGGUCAGGCCAGCCGCGGCUCAUCAGCCACGUGACCGUGAGGUGCCUGGGUGUGCCCUAUGGCURGAACUUUUUGGAUAGAGGAACUCAAUAAAUCGCCAGACGCUUCUGUCCACCAGCCUCUGUGUCCGAGGACUCUGCCCAACGCAGGCCAAUGUAGGUGUUCUGGGCACGUGUAGGGCUCUUGGCCAGGCGGUGGCGUCGGGUAGCUAGGUGGGUCGAGUGCACUUUCAACUGACAACAUUUUCCGCACAUGGGUCUAUCAGGAUGUAACAUCAUAAAUUCACAGACAUCUACGUACAACUUAUGUGAAAAUAUAAUAGGAUAUUUCUCAGAAACUCUUUUUGUUUCAGUGACACAUAAACAGUAACGGGACACGUAUUGAAGGAUUGUACUCAGCCCCCCGUCUGUCCCCAGUGACAUCUCAUAGAUGAACCUGGUCAGGGCAGCCUCUCGACACUGCAGUAGGAAACAGUCCAGGUGUUUUUAUGGCCGUUAUUGACCCUGUCACCGUGGAAUCAGGGAUACAGAGGCGUGAGAAGUUUCAAGAGAAUGAGGCGUCCAUCAUACAAAUUAGACUACAUACUUCACAAACGGGGACAGAAAGAACCUGGCAGGCCGCGUAGACCUUGUAGGGACACCCAUCUGGAUGUCUCACCUGGAGGUGCAUCCAUGAAGGGAAAGCCUUCCCUGGGGACCUGUGGCAGCCGCGACCUCCAACAGAAUGGAGGACAAGCCGCUGAUAUGCAUUUUAAAGAUGCUUUUGAUGGAUGGGGCUAAACUCAGGAAAAUAAGCCAGACCCUGGGGUCCCUGCGCACGGAUCGCCACGUGGUGGUGACCUGACCGACUGAAUCACKGCCUCUUCCAAAGCUCCUGCAAAUUGGGCUAACAGAAUUCCAGACAGGGCAUCCUGGGAGGUGUAGUCCUGGCCUGACCCUGUGACCGUGACGCUAGCCACCUCUGUCUCCAGAUGGCUGCUCCUCUCAGGCUUCUCUUCCUGAUUCAGACCCAUGGUCCAGUCCCCAGCAGGACAAAGAGCCCAGGGCAUCCUGUGAAAACAACACUUCCCACCGACCGCUCUCAGGAUCUCUGCCUGCUACCAGUCUCUGCCGACGAGUCAACCAACUGAUAAGUGGCUGCAGAGCUCUACAAAUAGAACCGUAGGCCUCUGGCCAAAGGUGUUUUUUGUGAUAAUGCAUACCUUAUGUAAGUAAAAAAGUAUUAACAUCAAAAUUGUUACUUUUCUCAAUGAAAUAAAAAGGUAGGAAAYGUGGGUAUGUGGUGUUCCGCGUGGGACACAGGGACAGUGAGACGCUAACAGACCCACCUUUCAUUGGCCUGAUGGCCCGUGUUUACAGAACCACCAACGACUACGAAAGUCACACUUCCAAUGUAGAAACACACGGCAAAUUCCCCAUUGGUGCAGCACACUUCAAAAUGAGAAAAAGCAACUGAA